AAAAAUAGUCUUACCAUAUGAUCUAGAAAUUGUGCUCCUUGGCAUUUACUCAAAUAAGUUGAAACAUAUAUACA